rnacentral:lncRNA from 1 species
AUACAUCCAUGUUUUUGGCGACAAUGAUGUACGUGAAGUUGUAGCUGAUUUUUUGAAUGGGGCAGCAGCAGCAGAGGCGGUGACCGUGGUGGAGGAAAAGCCAAAAACAAUAAACAUCUUCGAAUGUAAAUUAUUGCUAUAUUGCGUCAACACAAAGAACACAACACCCAGCACAUGCAGCUUAAAUUAGAUUUAUAUACACAACGAUAUUGCUUUGGAAAAUGUAUUGGUGUAUAAAUAUGGUAUGGACUGAAAUGUUAUGAACAACUUGAGAUCAAAAGAUUACGAUUAAGAUACAAGUUCUGACUUCUACAAUGAAUGGAUUAUUUAUAUAUAUAAAGGAUGCAAUUAAUGGCUAUCCAGCGACAACACCGAGAACACGACACCCAUUCUACAUAUUCAUCAUCUGGUUGACAACGGUGCUUAUCUGAGUUCCAGCUACAGUAUAAACAUAUGUUUGUCAUGUCUUCAGAAUUCUCUAAUAGAUAGGUCUUUAAAUAUUCUCUAUAAG